rnacentral:tmRNA from 1 species
GGGGCUGACUUGGAUUUCGACAGAUUUCUUGUCGCACAGAUAGCAUGCCAAGCGCUGCUUGUAAAACAGCAACAAAAAUAACUGUAAACAACGCAGAUUACGCUCCAGCUUACGCUAAAGUUGCGUGAGUUAAUCUCCUUUUGGAGCUGGACUGAUUAGAAUUUCUAGCGUUUUAAUCACUCCAUAACCUUAAGCUAGACGCUUUUAAAAGGUGGUUCGCCUUUUAAAAUAAGAAACAAGAACUCUUGAAACUAUCUCAAGGUUUUAGAAAGUUGGACCAGAGCUAGUUUUAAGGCUAAAAAACUAACCAAUUUUCUAAGCAUUGUAGAAGUUUGUGUUUAGGGCAAGAUUUUUGGACUGGGGUUCGAUUCCCCACAGCUCCACCA